rnacentral:rRNA from 1 species
UAACGGCCCACCAAGGCGACGACGGGUAGGUGGUCUGAGAGGAUGGUCCCCACACUGGGACUGAGACACUGCCCAGACUCCUACGGGAGGCUGCAGUCGAGAAUCAUCCGCAAUGGGCGAAAGCCUGACGGUGCAAUGCCGCGUGGGGGAUGAAGGCCUUCGGGUCGUAAACCCCUGUCAGAAGGGACGAAGCAAGUGACGGUACCUUCAGAGGAAGCCACGGCUAACUACGUGCCAGCAGCCGCGGUAACACGUAGGUGGCGAGCGUUAUUCGGAUUUACUGGGCGUAAAGGGUCCGCAGGGGGUUUGCCAAGUCCGGUGUGAAAGUCCAGGGCUCAACCCUGGAACUGCGCCGGAUACUGGCGAACUGGAGUGCGCGAAGGGCAGGCGGAAUUCCUGGUGUAGCGGUGGAAUGCGUGGAUAUCAGGAAGAACACCGACGGCGAAAGCAGCCUGCUGGCGCGCCACUGACCCUCAUGGACGAAAGCGUGGGUAGCGAACAGGAUUAGAUACCCUUGGUAGUCCACGCCGUAAACGGUGCAGACCCGAUUCGGGGGGGCAGCCCCCUCCGUGUCCAAGCCAACGCGUUAAGUCUGCCGCCUGGGGACUACGGUCGCAAGUCUAAUACUCAAAGGAAUUGACGGGGGCCCGCACAACCGGUGGAGCAUGUGGCUCAAUUCGAGGCAACGCGAAGAACCUUACCCGGACUUGACAUCAAGCGACCGGCGUGGAACACGCCUUUCCCUUCGGGGACGCGAAGACAGGUGCUGCAUGGCUGUCGUCAGCUCGU